rnacentral:rRNA from 1 species
UACGUAGGGGGCGAGCGUUAUCCGGAUUCACUGGGCGUAAAGGGAGCGCAGGCGGCACGGCAAGUCCGGUGUGAAAGCCCGGGGCCCAACCCCGGGACUGCACUGGAAACUGCCGGGCUGGAGUGUCGGAGGGGCAGGCGGAAUUCCUAGUGUAGCGGUGAAAUGCGUAGAUAUUAGGAGGAACACCGGUGGCGAAGGCGGCCUGCUGGACGACGACUGACGCUGAGGCUCGAAAGCGUGGGGAGCAAACAGG